GAUCCUGGCUCAGGACGAACGCUGGCGGCGUGCUUAACACAUGCAAGUCGAACGAAAAGAGGGAAAGAGCUUGCUCUUUCCGGAAUUGAGUGGCAAACGGGUGAGUAACACGUAAACAACCUGCCUUCAGGAUGGGGACAACAGACGGAAGCGACCGCUAAUACCGAACAAGUUCCAAGGGCCGCAUGGCCCAUGGAAGAAAAGGUGGCCUCUACCUGUAAGCUAUCGCCUGAAGAGGGGUUUGCGUCUGAUUAG
rnacentral:rRNA from 1 species